ensembl:lncRNA
CUUGCUAAUUGGUUGAACGCGGCACGAAUGGCGAAGGAACGAGCACCCCCCUUCGUUAAGCGGAAACAGGUUCAAAGAAGUCAUGAACCCAUCAUUUUGUAGAAUAGCAGUUUCAAAAACACUGGUUAUGGUAGCUUACAUUUGAAGGGUACAAUCAGGGCUGCAUUGUGGUCUGUAGUGUCCAAUCACCGAGUAGAUAAAAGAACUGGAAGUUAUUUAGGAAAAUUGCUUCUAGGCUAGUGAAGUGUUUCGUUUUCAAUUUAUGUUAGUCAGUAACGGGUUGGUGUUUACCAUCUUUGAGUUAGCUAUAAUGGUAACUGUACACCAUAGACAUAAUAAAGAGUAGACGCCGCAUUGGCUGCUGGGGCGCGAGAAAUACGGCCGCCAUGUUUGACCGGUCAUACUCCUAUUUGCGUAGCAGCAGAAGCAACGAUACCAGAGCACUAUGGAGCAUACUCCUGCUCAUAUCGGCGGACCAUCGAAAGCAGGGCUCGGGGGAUUACUUUUCACAAGUGCUGAGUGCUGCAGAGAGGGUGAUCCGCCAAGCUUCACCAAUGCCAGCUCCUAAGGUGUCGACAGUCACAGACAUCGUCCGGGAGCAGAUUGGAACGGAGGAUGUUUUUCUGCUUGGGGAACACAUUGAGGAGACUCAGUUUGGCAUCGACAACCAUCAUUCUGACUUGUUGUCAUUGGUUGUGUCUGUGUUUCUCAAAAUAAGGCUGCACCACAUUACCAAACUCACCUCUCUUGAACUGCAGAAAGGGAGCACGAGGAAGAACUGUCCUCUUUCAG